UGCAGAUGAUGCAAAAGAACAUCCGCUGUCAGAAUGGUCGUGGUGACACGUCGCUAACCACCAAGAUCGCUGAUGCA